UUCUAAUAUCAGGAUAGUGCGUUAGAAUCCACGGGAUGUGUGGCCAACGCGUCAGGAUGAUUUGUAGAAUGCACGAAAUCGAUUGGAAAAACUUACACCUCGCUGCACGUCAUCACGUAAUAUGCAUCACUCAUGCUUGGAAGAGGCUCAACCUAAUAAGCAUCACGUCGCUUCGAAGGGAAUGACGGAAAGGGCGACGAAUACACGAUUCGUAUGCAAGUCGCGUGACUCGAGAAAGUAAGUUCUCCAACUUGCCCGAGGCUUCAUAUUUCCUACUGCUGAUCCUCUCAACGAAAGGAUAUCUCCGUUUGCUGUCAGGAUUAUCAGUUCAUGGUCUUCCCGAAGCACCGAAAAUUUUUAAAACUGCAAGGAUAGCAAGUGACAGCGACCGGGUCAGGGCGUAACGAUCUUCCCAAAAAGGUGGAGAAACAUUGAACAGAAAUAGAAUAAUCGAUGGCUUCUGAGAAAUGGCGUUACCACUGCAUCAAAUAUGGAAGUACACGAGGACACGUUUUGCAUGAAAUUUUCUGCAGACGCUCCACGGUAAAGGAGUUAUUUCGGUCAUUUGUUGAAUCCCUCUGUGCAUACCGCUCGAUGCUUCAACGUUAAUUAAGUCUCCUGUAGUUCCUGCGGCUGGCCUGGCAUUGAGACGGGAAGAACGAGGCCACGAAACUCUGCCUUCGCAUUUGUACUACGACUCAAGAUUCGAUCAGUUUUUCCUUGCGACCAACAUGUCCGUUGACAGCCUCGAUCAACC